rnacentral:lncRNA from 1 species
ACUGUAAGGCCAUAAGGUUCAAAAUAGAAUAAUCAUAACAUGAGAGUGGGGUAUAGAAUACCCAAAACAACUGUAAUACUAUUCGAAACCUGAACAUACUAGUCUGAAAAGCCUCUAACAUGACUGUUUGAAUAGGGAGUUGAUGGGACAUGUCCCCAACUAACUCCGACUAACAAACCUGAACUAAAAUAAACUAUAACAUAAGUAAUGAUCAUGCCCUCGAGAGACGAGGACUCACUGCUGGAACUCUGAUAGCUGAGAUGCUACUGCUACUUCUGGUCUAGAAAUCGUGGAUCUGAACCUAUGGUGUAACAUAAAAGAAAGCACCAUAGCGCGAAUGCGUCAGUAUAACUGAGAGUACUGAGUAUAUGAGUGAGGUAGGCUAAAUGCAAAGGGUUUGUAUGCAUGAAUAAUACUGACUGAUAUGAACGUGAGAACACAAACAUACAUAAGUAACUGCUACUGAACUCGUGACGAUACUUACUACUAAGUUUGAAUACUGACAACAUGAGUUUACUGGUUUCGAGAUACUAAAUGACUGGGUUUACUGAUAUUGAUCUGUGAAUCACUAAUAAGUGAGGAACUGAUACUGUAUUACUGAAUACCAGGAGACUAAUACUUUAUUAAUAAUAAAGGAAUAAUUGUUUCUGCCAGUCCUGAUUAUGAAAGACUGGUAUAAUUGACUGUAUCUGACAGUCCUGAAACUGAGUACUGAUAGCAUGAGUUUACUGAAAUCUAAUAUGACUAGCAAAUAAUUUCUGAUAGCUGAUAUAGCUGAUAACAUGAGUGACUAUAUCUGAUAGCCUUGAUACUGGAUACUGAUAACAUGGGUGACUGUAGCUGACAACCCUAAAUCUGAUGGAACUAUCUGAGUUCCAUACUAUAUCUGAGUUGACUGUAUCUGACAGUCCUGAUAUUCUGAAGAACUAUCUGAGUUCUUUUACUGAGACUGAAUGACUGAAACCAUGAGAGGUAGUAGUUUAACCGACAUGCCCCAUAUAUGCUAAUAUAGCUGAACUGGGGUCCUAUCCUUGCGCUGAUUGAAAGGGUGUCAAUAUCGUGCCACGGGUAAAGACAAGCUGUGAGUGACCCUCAAAUGUUUUAUUUAAAGUAGUAUAUAUUUAUUGAAUGGUGUGUACAUAUGUAUAUAUAUCUUCUAUAGACGUAUAUAUUUAACGUAUAAAUGUGUAUAUGUUUUAUAAAUUAGUAUAUAACUAUAUUUAUACAUUGUAGUAUAUAUAUAUGACAGUAUAUUUUAUUUAAAGUAGUACAUAUAUAUUGAAUGGUGCGUAUAUAUCUUCUAUAAAUGUAUAUAUUUACCGUAUACAUGUGUAUAUAUUUUAUUUAAAGUAGUACAUAUAUGUUGAAUGGUGCGUAUAUAUGUGUAUAUAUUCUCUAUAAACGUAUAUAUUUUACCUAUACAUGUGUCUAUGGUUUAUAAAUUAGUAUAUAACUAUAUAUAUAUAUAUAUAUAUUGUAGUAUAUUUUAUUUAAAGUAGCACAUAUAUUUUGAAGGGUGCGUAUAUANNNNNNNNNNNNNNNNNNNNNNNNNNNNNNNNNNNNNNNNNNNNNNNNNNNNNNNNNNNNNNNNNNNNNNNNNNNNNNNNNNNNNNNNNNNNNNNNNNNNNNNNNNNNNNNNNNNNNNNNNNNNNNNNNNNNNNNNNNNNNNNNNNNNACUAUAUAUAUAUAUAUAUAUAUUGUAGUAUAUGUUUUAUUUAAGUAGUAUAUAUAUAUAUAUUAAAUGGUGCGUAUAUAUAAGAAUAUAUCUUCUAAAGUAGUAUAUAUUUGACAUAUACAUGUGUAUAUGUUUUAUAAAUUUGUAUAUAUCUAUAUAUAUAUAUAUAUAUAUAUAUAUGUAUGUAUUUUAGUAUAUAUUAUUUAAAGUAGCACAUAUAUAUUGAAUGGUGCGUAUAUGUGUAUAUAUCUUCUAUAGAUGUAUAUAUUUAAUGUAUACAUGUGUAUAUGUAACGUAUACAUGUGUAUAUGUUCCAACAAUCCUGAUUUGGACUCUUACAGCUGCCAUGCUUUGGCCCUUUAUAUAGUAACUAUGAAUUCACUUAAUCCACAACUGAUCUUGUUUUGCGCCACAUCCCAACACAUCUUAAUAAUGGAUGCUUUGUUCCAUAAUUUGAGGUUCAGUAAAUUCAGGCCUCCAACAGUUUUUUGGGUGCUCAUUUUAUCCCAAGCAACAAGGGCUCUCUUAGUGAUGGUAUUUGUCCCUAACCAGAUAUAACUCCUGCAGUAAACUUGAAUUGCUUUUAUCACCUUAGCAAGUAUCACAAACAGUUGUGCCCAGUAAGCUUGAACUCCAAAAAGUACUGAUCUAACAAAUUGUACUCUCACAGCGUGCAACUUCUUCGCGGUCCAUGAAGAUACUUUAGCAAUAACUUGAUCAAUCAGAUGCUGCCAUUGCAUGAUAGUGAGUUUCUUAGUAGAGAGAGAAACUCCAAGAAAUUUAAAGGGAAGUUAUCCAUUGCUAUAUCCUAAUUGUAAUUGGAUUUGAGUCGUUUCUGCUUCUGAAAUAUCUCCAAAAUACAAUGCACUCUUGGAUAAGUUAGCUUGUAGCCUUAAAGCAGCAGUGAAGGUGAUAAUUUUUUCAUGUAGCAAUAUAACUGAUGCGAGAUCACCUUUAGAGAACAAAAGUAAAUCGUCCACAAAGCUCAAAUGUGUGAUCUUUUAGUCUGCCACACAGAGGAUGAUAUUUAAAUUGUUUAUUAAGCUUUAAUAUGAUCAAAUUCCUACUUAAAUACUCCAUUACCAUCGUAAACAGGAAAUGGAAUAAGGAUCCCCUUGCUAAAGACCUCUUGCCGCUUUAAAAGGCCUUGUAAGUUCUCCAUUAAUUAUGAUAGAAUAAGUCACUGUGGUUAAACAUUGCAUCACCCAACCAAUAAACUUUGUAGGAAAGCCUAAUCCCGACAUUACCUGCUCCAGGAAGUUCCAAUCCACAGAUCAUACGCUUUUUGGAUGUCCAUCUUGAUCAUAUAUGUUUCCUGCUAUAAGACUUCACUAACUCAUGAGAAAUUAUGAUAUUGUCAGCCACCUUUCUACCUGGUAUGAAGCCAGCUUGAGUUUCUGAGACCACAGAUGCUACCACAUAUGGAUUCUAUUAUCCAGCACCUUAGCUAUUAGCUUAUACACAGUAGAGCAACAUGAUAUGGGCCGGUAUUGUUUAAAACUUGUAGGAUUGGGCACCUUAGACAAUAAGGUUAUUAUGGUACAAUUUACUGGCUUAUAUAAUGUUCUAGUGGAAAAAAAUUCUUCCCAGCUUUAUUCACAUCACUUUGGAUCACUUGCUAAGCUUUUAAAAUUUUUUUUUGCAUUAUAUCCAUCUACUUCGGGUGCCUUGUCAUCUCCAAUUGAGUGUAAACCACCAUAAAUUUCUUCAUCUGUCACUUCGAUACAUAAGGCUAACUGUUGGGCAUGACUUAAAGUUGGACCUCUCUACAUAACAUUUUUAUUAACUGCAGUAGUGUGAACAGUUGCUGUACCCGUGAGCUAUUUGUUGGAGGAGAUUAUUUCUUCACUAAUAGCUGUAGGUUCCACCAAUUUUGCCCCACUAUCAGUAGUGAGUUCAACAAUUUGUUUUCUGUGUCGUCUCUCUUUAAUUACAAAAGUGAAGUAUUUUGUAUUUGAAUCACCUAAUUUUAUCCACAAGGCUCUUGACUUUUGACAUUGGAUGCUUUCCUCUAUGCCAUAUCAUUUUUCAAGCUGGAGCAGUAAUUUUUUCUUAUCUUCUACACUAUCAUCAAAGUAACUACUGCUCAGUUGUUGCUGAAUGUUAGUCAAGGCAUCUCUAACGAAUUCAAUCUUCUCCAUGACUCUUCUAUAUUCUUUGUUGUUCAGCUGUCUUAACGGCAACUUUAAAUUCUUCAAAUUUUGCCCGAAACAUUUAAGAGCGUCACCUUUCCAUCUACUUUUCCAACUUCUUUGAACUAUGGUAAUAAAACCAUCAUGUUGCGUUCUUAUAUUAAAGAACCUGAAUGAGGUUUUAACGUUGGUAAGUUGGAGCUGAAUGUCCAUCACAAGAGGGGAAUGGUCGUAUAUGUGUGGCAACCUGAUACCAAGGACUAAGUGGCCAUACUUAAGCAUCCACUCAUCAUUCCCUAGGGCUUUAUCAAGCUUACUAGAAAUCCUAGCCAUCCCAAAUUGCUUGUUAUUCCAUGAGUAAUGGAGACCCUUCUAGAGAAUUACACUUAGCAUUAGAUCCUGAACACAAUCUCCAAAAUCUUGAAUCUCUACUUUGGUAACUGUUGCACCACCAAGUCGAUCUUGGCAUUGUAGUAUGACAUUAAAAUCACCCCAUAUAAGCCAUGUCAUCGUGAUUGAAGUAGCAACAUUCCUCAAUUCGACCCAUAAUUCCUUUCUUAAUUUGAUAGAAUUAAAACCAUACACUACAGUCAUACAACAUGCUACUUCCUUGUCGCUGCUUAAGACUUCACAAUGAAUGUAUUGAGCAUUUUGCUUAAUCAAUUGACCUCAUAUACUAUUGCAUCCCAUCCAACCCAUAGUUGACCAUUGCCAACACUAGCAUAAUUGUGAAAAAAACACCAGCCAGGUAUUACUUCAUUUGCUACUACCUCUACCUUAUUUUCUUUAACUCUGGUUUCUACUAAGCCUGCAAGCUUUAUAUGAUUAUCUUUAAUGUAUUUAUUCAGCUUCCUCUGCUUAUACUUCUUAUUAAUACCUCAAACAUUCCAUGCUAACCAGGACAUUAGAGAGAAGAUAAAGGCCCACCACCUUUAUUUUGUGGUGAAUUAUAAGCCAACACAACCUGAUUAGUUUGUAAAACCUCGAAACCAUUUUUGUGAUCGCCCAUAAAACUUGAGCAUAGCCUUUAGGGCCACUACUUUCAGCCACAUUUUUCCACUUGAUGCUCUGUUUACUCUUACCUAUGACAGGUGUAAAAACUUCAGUUGAGUUAGUUGUGUUCAUAGGUGCUUGUUGCAUCACCUCUUUUUCCCGAGGCUGAUGAAUAGCCGAUUUUGCAACUUCUUUAGGCAACCAGGUAGGUAUCAUUUUUGGUUGGGUUUUAGGAGGUUGAGGUGGUUUUGCUUUAGGUAAAGUGGGCUGCUGGGGUUUCUCCUUCAAACACGAGUACCCUACCACUAUACAAUCUUCUCAAUACUCUGGUUUUCAAUAAAACAUGAUGGGUUGUUUGAAAGUUUGACCGUGUGCAUUCAUAACUGUAAUAUCAUUGGGGAUCGAUUUAGUGAUGUCAACCUCAAUUAACAUCCUUGAAUAAGAGAUCCUAGUUUGCUUAGAUGUACAUUCAUCAGCGAACAAAGGUAUCCCGAUAACACUUGUAAUCCGACUAAGCGAAUCACAACUCCGGCAGUUCAAAGGCAAUUUGGGUAGUGUUACCCACAAAUAUAUUUUUGUACGGAAUUCUGAUUUAAAGUCAAGUUGGGGCAUCCAUUGUUUCAAUAUCAGAGGUUACUAUUGAUACUAUAUGGUUCUGUAAAAAGGAUCUCUUUCAUAUCAACUUUCGAUUGAAAUUUCACUAGAUAGUAGCCUUCAUCAUGAUAGUAUAAAUCUGGUGCAACAACAUUGGUCUAAGUUUGUGAUAUAUACUGUUUCAUGUAGUUAUAGCCUGGCAUAUCCCCAAUAACAUAUAAAACCAACGAAUACCUCCAUUUUGUUUCCUCCUGUUCUUGUUCCAGCUUUUUUAUCUUCACAACCGGGCUUUAAUUAACCAGUUCAGAGGGGAUGUAAUUUAACGUCAUACAAUUUGUUGCAACUCGAUUACCAGCAAAUAGAUUCACCCAUAGAUUUACCUUAGUGUAAACCUCGGGAGGGGAUGUUAUCCUAAUAUUUCCCCCUUAUUUUCUAGAUCUACACUUCGUACACUCGCUAGAUCAGUAUUCAAUGGAACAGUGUUUGACAGAACAAUAGGUGUUGAGCUAACACUCUCUAUUGAAGAUGAGUGGACGUCGCCUUGAGCAAUUUUUGGACUCCUAUGUAAAUUUUGAUGGUUGGAAUUCGAGGUACCUGCUUGGUCAUUGCUUCGCGAACCAGAAUUCACCUUCCUCAACAAACCGCUAUUCAUUGAUGCUUCGCUAGCCUGCAAACAAAGGUCCUUCAGCUGAGAUCCAGCAUGCUUGGAGCUUCCUGAGUUCCCAAAGUGAGUAAUUAGUUCCUUUCGUGGUGUCCCUCUUCGUCUCUGACCCACCAUAUUCACCCCGGCAUAUGAUAGCAACUCCUACGCCGAGAGGAGAGAAAAGAGAGGGUUUCCAUUUUUAUCUUUGAAUAAUUAGCAGUUUAUACAGAAAUUUAUUUGUUCAACCAAGCCUUUAGUAUGUAUUUGAAUAACUCACCGAAUUAGUGAGUUUUAUUAAAUAGAUUCUUGAAACAAGCUUGACAAUAAUUAUAUGAGUUAUUCAACUAUAAAAUAA